CCUACGGGAGGCAGCAGUGAGGAAUAUUGGUCAGUGGGCGCGAGCCUGAACCAGCCAAGUAGCGUGAAGGAUGACUGCCCUACGGGUUGUAAACUUCUUUUAUCAGGGAAUAAAGUGAGGCACGUGUGCCUUUUUGUAUGUACUUUAUGAAUAAGGAUCGGCUAACUCCGUGCCAGCAGCCGCGGUAAUACGGAGGAUCCGAGCGUUUUCCGGCUUUUUUGGGUUUAAAGGGAGCGGAGAUGGGUAGUUAAGUCAGCUGGGAAAGUGUGCGGCUCAACCGUAGAAUUGCAAGUGAUACUGGCAGUCUCGAGUACAGUAGAGGUAGGCGGAAUGCGCGGUGUAGCGGUGAAAUGCUUAGAUAUCACGAAGAACUCCGAUUGCGAAGGCAGCUUACUAAAUUGCCACUGACAUUGAUGCUCGAAAGUGUGGGUAUCAAACAGGAUUAGAUACCCUGGUAGUC
rnacentral:rRNA from 1 species